ACGCUCGACACCUACGGGAGGGCAGCAGUGAGGAAUAUUGGUCAAUGGGCGCAGGCCUGAACCAGCCAAGUAGCGUGAAGGAUGACUGCCCUAUGGGUUGUAAACUUCUUUUAUAUGGGAAUAAAGUUUUCCACGUGUGGAAUUUUGUAUGUACCAUAUGAAUAAGGAUCGGCUAACUCCGUGCUAGCAGCCGCGGUAAUCUGAGCGGGCUGGCAAGGC
rnacentral:rRNA from 1 species